AGUGAACGCUGGCGGCAGGCCUAACACAUGCAAGUCGAACGGCAGCACAGUGGAGCUUGCUCCAUGGGUGGCGAGCGGCGGACGGGUGAGGAAUACAUCGGAAUCUGCCCAGUCGUGGGGGAUAGCAUAGGGAAACUUAUGCUAAUACCGCAUACGCCCUACGGGUGAAAGCGGGGGAUCGCAAGACCUCGCGCGAUUGGAUGAGCCGGUGUCAGAUUAGCGAGUUGGCGGGGUAAUGGCCCACCAAGGCGACGAUCGGUAGCUGGUCUGAGAGGAUGAUCAGCCACACUGGAAUUGAGACACGGUCCAGACGCCUACGGGAGGCAGCAGUGGGGAAUAUUGGACAAUGGGCGCAAGCCUGAUUCAGCCAUGCCGCGUGGGUGAAGAAGGCCUUCGGGUUGUAAAGCCCUUUUGUCCGGAAAGAAAAGCCUCGGAUUAAUACCCUGGGGUGAUGACGGUACCGGAAGAAUAAGCACCGGCUAACUUCGUGCCAGCCGCCGCAGUAAAAC
rnacentral:rRNA from 1 species